UACGGGGGGGGCAAGCGUUGUUCGGAAUUACUGGGCGUAAAGGGCUCGUAGGUGGCCAACUAAGUCAGACGUGAAAUCCCUCGGCUUAACCGGGGAACUGCGUCUGAUACUGGAUGGCUUGAGUUCGGGAGAGGGAUGCGGAAUUCCUGGUGUAGCGGUGAAAUGCGCAGAUAUCAGGAAGAACACCCGUGGCGAAGGCGGUUCUCUGGGACGGUACUGACGCUGAGACGCGAAAGCUAGGGGAGCAAACGGG
rnacentral:rRNA from 1 species